rnacentral:lncRNA from 1 species
CCAAGUGUCCUGACUCCCAGGCCAGAGCUUGUUAUAUGACCUUCUAGGUUCUCUUGAACUCCUCCAUAGGACCAAGCCUUUCCCAGUGACAAAAAGGAUUGAAAAAGUAGCCCCAAAUAACUGUGGCUCCUGAAUGUCGUCAUGUGGAAAUGAGGAAAAUUCCAAGUGGAGUAAAAGUUUCCCAGCAACCACUCAGCCCUGAAGGUUCAAGCUGGUUAGACCUGCAGCUCUAGAGACUAUGAGAAGUUUUUAGAAUAGCAUCCAGGAAGGAGAGACAGUCUACUUGUUCAGAGAAGGCCUUCUUCAAAGCUUAUUCCCAUUUGCCAGGCCAAGAUGGAUGGAAAGAACAUAGAGCAUCCCAGUCCUCUGAUUUUUGCAGGAGUUCUUGAACUUUUUUUUUUGGUGAUAUGAGUCCUUUUGGCAAUCUGCUGAAGCAUAUGGACUGAUCAUUUUGUUAGAAUAAUGUUUUUAAAUAAUUGAAGGAAACAUUAAAUUUGAGAG